AUAAACCUUAUAAAAUAAAAAGUGAAAAUGAUUGGGUGCCUUGUGUUCCCGCGUGAACUACUUACAGUUCUAUCUGAGGGCAGCCGCUCUUCUUUGCUCUGAAUUUCAUCCUGAGACGUAUUCAGGACGCUCUUUCAGCACCUCCGUCUCCUCCUGGCAUCACUGUUUCUCCUCUCUUAACGGGAUCGUUUUGAUAUGCUGCUAUUUUUCCCAUCUUAAAAAAAAAAAAAAAUGCUUCUUUGACCCCGUCCAUCUCUUCCAGCUACUGCCCCAAACAGUUUCAGUCCUUGCUUCCUUCUCUCCCCUUCUCUCAUCUCCCCGGUCAGGCUUUGUUGGCCCAGCUGCUCGUACCCUUUUCCCUGGAGCUCUUUUUUCGCUUGGCUUCCAGGGACCGUGUUUCUGGUUUUCCACCUGUCUUAUCUGCCGUCCCUUUCAGCAUCUCUGCUCCUUGACUUCUCAGUGUUAGAAGGCCCGGGGCUUCUCCUCUCCGCCUUCUGAUUCUCUUUGUGGCCCUCUCCUGACUUGUGGCAUUAUAUACCCGCUGUAUGGAUGCUGCCUGGAAUUCGCUCCAGAGGAAUUCUGUGAGAUAAACAAGACUAACCAUGAGGUGAUAAUGGUUGAAGGUGGCUGGUAGGUACCUGGAGAUUUAUCACACGAUUAUCUCUAGUUUUGUCUACGUUGGAAUUUGCCGUAAUGAAAAGAACAAUCUACGUGCUGAUGAGCGCCCCCGCCCAGUUCUUUGUCUCAAGCCCAGCCUCCCUCCUGAAGUUCUGUUCUGUCUGUCUGCCCACAAAACGUUUCAACUUGAAUGUUAAUAGACAUUUCAUACUUAACACGCCCAGCAGUGAGCUCCCGAUUUUUCCACAUAAAUGUGCUCCUCCCCGUCUCCUGUCUUGGUUUUACUCAUCCGUAAUGCCUGUGGUCUUGCUUCCCUUCUCUCUUUCACGUCCUUCAUCCAGUCCACCAGUGAAUCUCCAUCACUCUGCCUGUAACAUAUAUUCAGACGUAGGAUAUGACUAGUCAGAGCUGCCUCCACUGCCAUCACCCCGGUCCAGGCCAGCAUCAUCGCUCACCUGCUUCUCCUCUGCCCCGUACAGGCUGUAGUUCUCACCGUGGUUGGGAGGAUCCCUGCCGUGCUCAAAAACCUGCUGUGGCUUCUUUUGCUUUCAGUGAAACCCAUGGUCCCCAGAGUGGCCUACAAGACUCCGUAACUUAUGAACAGAGUCCAGUAGAAACACAGCGAGUUACACAGAAGUGCCACAUUCGUAAUUUAACACUUUUCUGGUAGCUAAAUUUAAGAGGGAAAAGGUGGAAUUAAUUUUGAUAAUUUAACCCAGUAUGUCAACACCGUUUUCAUCUCUGAUGUCUUUUUUGACGUUCUUUUUUUGUGCUGCAUCACCCCCAUGGCACACGCAGUUUGGACCAGCUACGUUUCAUGCGCUCGGUGUCCUGACGUGCCUGGCGGCCGCCACAGUCCAUCUGCAGGCCUCCGUGGUCUUUGCUUCUGUGUUGUUCCCUCCUACCGCUCUUCUCUUCUCUCACUUUGCUCCAGCUGCACCGGCCUCCUCGCUGUUCCUCGAAUAAACCGGGCAUUUCCAGUUUCAGGGCCUUUGCACCUCCUGCUCCAUCUAUCUGGAAUGCUUUUCCCCAGAUGGCCACACAGCUGGCUCUCCCUUCUUUUGGGUCUGUGCUCGUAUCUGCUCUACCUUCCAG
ensembl:lncRNA